rnacentral:rRNA from 1 species
UACGUAGGGUCCGAGCGUUGUCCGGAAUUAUUGGGCGUAAAGAGCUCGUAGGCGGUUUGUCGCGUCUGCUGUGAAAUCCCGAGGCUCAACCUCGGGUCUGCAGUGGGUACGGGCAGACUGGAGUGCGGUAGGGGAGAAUGGAAUUCCUGGUGUAGCGGUGGAAUGCGCAGAUAUCAGGAGGAAUACCGGUGGCGAAGGCGGCAUCCUGGACCGACAUUGACGCUGAGUGAGCGAAAGCUAGGGGAGCAAACGGG